rnacentral:rRNA from 1 species
GACGAACCGUGCGAACGUUGUUCGGAAUCACUGAGCUUAAAGGGCGCGUAGGCGGGCUAUCAAGUCCGGGGUGAAAUCCUCCAGCUCAACUGGAGAACUGCCUCGGAUACUGAUGGUCUCGAGGAGGAUAGGGGCACACGGAACUGUGGGUGGAGCGGUGAAAUGCGUUGAUAUCCAUAGGAACUCCGGUGGCGAAAGCGGUGUGCUGGAUCCUUUCUGACGCUGAGGCGCGAAAGCCAGGGGAGCAAACGGG